rnacentral:rRNA from 1 species
GACGAACGCUGGCGGCGUGCUUAACACAUGCAAGUCGAACGGAAAGGCCCUGCUUGCAGGGUACUCGAGUGGCGAACGGGUGAGUAACACGUGGGUGAUCUGCCCUGCACUUCGGGAUAAGCCUGGGAAACUGGGUCUAAUACCGGAUAGGAGCCAUUUUUAGUGUGAUGGUUGGAAAGUUUUUUCGGUGUAGGAUGAGCUCGCGGCCUAUCAGCUUGUUGGUGGGAUAAUGGCCUACCAAGGCGGCGACGGGUAGCCGGCCUGAGAGGGUGGACGGCCACAUUGGGACUGAGAUACGGCCCAGACUCCUACGGGAGGCAGCAGUGGGGAAUAUUGCACAAUGGGCGCAAGUCUGAUGCAGCGACGCCGCGUGGGGGAUGACGGCCUUCGGGUUGUAAACUCCUUUCGCUAGGGACGAAGCUUUUUGUGACGGUACCUAGAUAAGAAGCACCGGCUAACUACGUGCCAGCAGCCGCCGCAG